rnacentral:rRNA from 1 species
AGUGAACGCUGGCGGUAGGCCUAACACAUGCAAGUCGAACGGCAGCACAGGAGAGCUUGCUCUCUGGGUGGCGAGUGGCGGACGGGUGAGGAAUACAUCGGAAUCUACUCUGUCGUGGGGGAUAACGUAGGGAAACUUACGCUAAUACCGCAUACGACCUACGGGUGAAAGCAGGGGACCUUCGGGCCUUGCGCGAUUGAAUGAGCCGAUGUCGGAUUAGCUAGUUGGCGGGGUAAAGGCCCACCAAGGCGACGAUCCGUAGCUGGUCUGAGAGGAUGAUCAGCCACACUGGAACUGAGACACGGUCCAGACUCCUACGGGAGGCAGCAGUGGGGAAUAUUGGACAAUGGGCGCAAGCCUGAUCCAGCCAUACCGCGUGGGUGAAGAAGGCCUUCGGGUUGUAAAGCCCUCUUGUUGGGAAAGAAAUCCAGCUGGCUAACACCCGGUUGGGAUGACGGUACCCAAAGAAUAAGCACCGGCUAACUUCGUGCCAGCCGCCGCGGUAAGAC